UCCCUGCUGGUCUGGAGGUUAAGACGCUGCACUCCCAAUGCAGGGGGCUCAGGUUUGAUCCCUGGUCAAGGAA
rnacentral:tRNA from 1 species